GCUCAUUUGGUCUAAUGGUUAGGAUCCACGCCUUCCAAGCGUGGGGUCGGAGUUCGAUUCUCCGGAUGAGCA
rfam:Eutypa lata TCREL1 unplaced genomic scaffold EL1_03_scaffold_1207, whole genome shotgun sequence.